rnacentral:rRNA from 1 species
GACGGAGGAUGCAAGUGUUAUCCGGAAUCACUGGGCGUAAAGCGUCUGUAGGUGGUCAAAUAAGUCAACUGUUAAAUCUUGCGGCUCAACCUCAAAAUCGCAGUCGAAACUAUUAGACUAGAGUAUAGUAGGGGUAAAGGGAAUUUCCAGUGGAGCGGUGAAAUGCGUAGAGAUUGGAAAGAACACCGAUGGCGAAGGCGGCUUACUGGGCUAUUACUAACACUCAGAGACGAAAGCUAGGGUAGCAAAUGGG